rnacentral:tRNA from 1 species
GGUGGGGUGUGCUGAAUUGGUAAAGCACCGCACUCGAAAUGCGGCGGGCUUUUGCCCAUGCGAGUUCGAGUCUCGCCCCCACCG